AUUGAACGCUGGCGGCAGGCCUAACACAUGCAAGUCGAACGGUAACAGGAAGAAGCUUGCUUCUUUGCUGACGAGUGGCGGACGGGUGAGUAAUGUCUGGGAAACUGCCUGAUGGAGGGGGAUAACUACUGGAAACGGUAGCUAAUACCGCAUAACGUCGCAAGACCAAAGAGGGGGACCUUCAGGCCACUUGCCAUCGGAUGUGCCCAGAUGGGAUUAGCUUGUUGGUGGGGUAACGGCUCACCAAGGCGACGAUCCCUAGCUGGUCUGAUCGGAUGACCAGCCACACUGGAACUGAGACACGGUCCAGACUCCUACGGGAGGCAGCAGUGGGGAAUAUUGCACAAUGGGCGCAAGCCUGAUGCAGCCAUGCCGCGUGUAUGAAGAAGGCCUUCGGGUUGUAAAGUACGUUCAGCGGGGAGGAAGGGAGUAAAGUUAAUACCUUUGCUCAUUGACGUUACCCGCAGAAGAAGCACCGGCUAACUCCGUGCCAGCCGCCGCAGUAA
rnacentral:rRNA from 1 species